rnacentral:misc_RNA from 1 species
UCAACCCUCAAGCUCUGGCUUGUUGUUGGGUAUGUCGAGUGGGAGACCACUUCACACCCGAAAGACAAUGACGGCGCUAGAUGGAAGCCUGGUACAAUGAGUCUUUUUAGGCACGUACUGUGGUCGACCGUUUAGCCCGGCCUCAUGAAUAUUUUUCUCAA